rnacentral:lncRNA from 1 species
CUCUGAUAAGAUAUUUUUAAAACCUCAGUGGCUCUGAACUAUUUAAAUGGAAACGUUUGGUAUUUGAUACUGAACAGCUGUCCAUAAAAAUAGCAGUUACCGAGUAAUUUUCUGCACGUGGUUUAACGUGUGUCAGGUAGUGGGUGGUUAAUGAUGACCUUUUGUAUUCAUAAUUUCUUGUCUAUUUGCGUAACUUCCCAAAUUUGCCAUUUUCGUGUUAACUGUACUCAUUUAAAUAAACUUACACAAUACACUUGCACACUAUUCACUUUCACAACCUACACUUUCAUAUUCUCUCUAAACCUCCAACACAUUUUCUUUCUCUCUCGUUAGUUUUCCAAACCCUACCCUAAUCUCCAACAAUGGCCGGACC